AUUGGUGCUUACACCGCGAGUGCACACCUCUUCCCAUUCCGAACAGAGAAGUUAAGACUCGCAGGGCUAAUGGUACUACAAAAAAAUGUGGGAGAGUAGGUCGGUGCCAUAC
rnacentral:rRNA from 1 species